rnacentral:misc_RNA from 1 species
GAUGAAGAACGCAGCGAAAUGCGAUACGUAAUGUGAAUUGCAGAAUUCAGUGAAUCAUCGAGUCUUUGAACGCACAUUGCGCCCCUUGGUAUUCCAUGGGGCAUGCCUGUUCGAGCGUCAUUUGUACCCUCAAGCUUUGCUUGGUGUUGGGUGUUUGUCCCGCGUUGCGCGUGGACUCGCCUUAAAGCGAUUGGCAGCCGGCAUAUUGGCCUUGGAGCGCAGCACAUUUUGCGCUUCUAGUCAUGAAUGUUGGCGUCCAUUAAGCCUAUACAUUUGCUCUUGACCUCGGAUCAGGUAGGGAUACCCGCUGAACUUAAGCAUAUCAAUAAGCGGAGGA